ACACUUGUUUGUUCUACAGCCGGCUUAACAGAGGGAGCAAGUCCGCCACUAAACAGAAGGAUACAUCUAGAUUAAAUUUAAGGCCAGUAAGUACAAUAGCACGUGGACAUUGAAUUAUCAUAUGAUUAUUGUGUAUAUGUAUUAGUUCACGGAUACCAAACACGCGUGUAUUUUGACCAUGCAAACGUGUGAUAAACAGUCAUUCCUAAUCAACAGCAAAUGUCGGAAAACCUGGGAGAAGUGUGACUGUAGACUUCGGAGCCUUCUCUUGUUAUUUAUCACCAGACGUCACGCGCAGGCAAGAUCUGUAGAGAGUGCUUUACCCACACUGCCAAAAUUUCCCAGAAAAAGUACAGCCCUAGGUGCUGACAUCGGGCACUUUAAGAUCCUGGCGGUGGGCGAAGUACUUCGUGGCAUGCUAGAAAUAGAUCAACAUUUCGUAAUUCCCAACAGCCGUGCCUAGAACAAUGUUAUCCCAUCGACCUUGGAAGUCAGUCAGCCGUUUGCAACCCCAUUGACUUAAAUCUCUUCGCCCAUUUCAAUUUUGUUUUAAAAUAAAUGAAAUUAUUCUAGAGUACGAGUCAACUUUCGAAAAUAUCUCCCUGCGCGUUUCAUUCCUAGAGCAGACAGAUAAAAGUGAGGCGGAAAGUAAAAUGCUUGAUAAAGAUUCUUCCAUCUCAUGGAGAGGGACCAAUGUACGCAUAUGUCCAGGAACACACGCCGCAUACCGGUUAACGUGGCAGUUUCCAUUUUUGUCCACAAGGCCCAAAAAUAUAUCGGGCACAAGGUUUAAAGAUAGUGCUCUUUGCAAAUUUAGAUUCUUUGACAUCCGAAUAUAAAUCUUUGUGAAGGACACAACAGCCCUGUAAGUUUGUAUAUACAUGUAAUAUUUUAGAACAAUACUCGAUAGAAGCAUCAAAGUACCGUGUGUACUCGAACAGCGGCUCCUUGUCUGUGCACAGAAAUAACCCGCGUUUUAGUGAGAACUGAUCAGAAAGAAACUCUGUGUCCUCGGUUGAAAUUUAUACUUUUAUCAAACGCCCUCAGUCAAAAUAGCUGCACAUUACUCAUUUGUUUUAGCAGACUUUAAGUAUAGCAGAAUUUGAGUUUCCUUAUUGCAGUGUAGGAGACACGUCCGCCGUUACAGACAUGUGUUUUAUAGCGCAGUAUGUCAAGGGUUUCACACUCAAGGUUGAGGGAUAGCGGAGCUAGGGGAGCGCCAAUUAUUUACGUCAGCAGUCGAACCGAGAUAAAAAUGUAAACAAAUAUCAUUUUACCUCGAAUUCCACCUAUCAUGCGCUCCUUGAGUGAAUACAAAGCGUGGUCGGGUGUGUGUUUAUGUUGGCAUUCCUUACAGAUAAAGGACAGGAUGACUCAAAUCUUCACCGGUCAGACCGCGCGGGACGGCCAGAGAUAAGUCUAUGUAGAUCUCCACCGUACCUGUCAUACCUUUAUGUUGACCUUAGACAAAGGGUCUGUUUACAUGCGCUUAUAACCUGUGUAUCGUGUUUCUAACGGGGCUCAAGAAUUUUUCUCCUCACCCCCUCCCACACACUUUCCGACAAACAAUAAGAAUGUAUUUAAUAUUAGAUUGAUUUCAUAACAAUAGCAUACAUAUAUAUAU
rnacentral:misc_RNA from 1 species